GACGAACGCUGGCGGCGUGCUUAACACAUGCAAGUCGAACGAUGAAGAAGAGAAACGCGAACUUCGGUUCAAAUUUCACUUCGGAUUAGUGGCAGACGGGUGAGUAACGCGUGAGCAACCUACCUCUUACAAAGGGAUAGCCUCGGGAAACCGUGAUUAAUACCAUAUGACACAUUCAUAAGGCAUCUUAAGAAUGUUAAAGCUACGGCGGUAAGAGAUGGGUGCGCGUCCCAUUAGCUAGUUGGUGAGGUAACGGCCCACCAAGGCGACGAUGGGUAACCGGACUGGGAGGAUGAACGGGCACAUUGGAACUGAGACACGGUCCAAACUCCUACGGGAGGCAGCAGGGGGGAAUAUGGCACAAUGGAGGGAACACUGAUGCAGCGACGCCGCGUGAACGAUGAAGGAAUUCGUUUCGUAAAGCUCUGUUCUAUGGGAAGAAAAGGACUGUACCAUAGGAGAAAGCCCCGGCUAAAUACGUG
rnacentral:rRNA from 1 species